rnacentral:sRNA from 2 species
GGCCGUUGCAAGUUCCCGAGAGGAUUCACUUGUGUGUUAUAAGUGGAGAUGCCUUGUAACCGAAAAAUAUUUUUUAGGGGGAAUUAUUAUCAUG